GACUGGGCUGAGUUUGUGGCGCGCUUAGUGAUGGGAGGGCGCUGUGCAGGACGCCGACACGAAAAGAUGAAGAGUUCAAUCCGUGCUGUCUGAACUCACAGUGUAGCGGGCGAGAUAGACGGGAAGAUCGGUAGGGUGGGAGAUGCCGGAAAGGCUUCCCGUGAAACUGGAUAAGAAAUCAAAAAUCUGGUGAAAUUGCCGGCAGGAGGGAGUUAAGGACAUUCCAGGCAGAGGCAAGGCUGUAGACAUCACAGGAUAGACAGAAAAUAACAAGAUUCAAGGUAACAAUCUGCAUGCUGAAGGAAGAAUUCUGCUUUCAGACUAUG
rnacentral:lncRNA from 1 species